CAGCAGCCACGGUAAUACGAAGGGGGCUAGCGUUGUUCGGAAUUACUGGGCGUAAAGCGCACGUAGGAGGAUAUUUAAGUCAGGGGUGAAAUCCCGCAGCUCAACUGCGGAACUGCCUUUGAUACUGGGUAUCUUGAGUAUGGAAGAGGUUAGUGGAAUUGCGAGUGUAGAGGUGAAAUUCGUAGAUAUUGGGAAGAACACCGGUGGCGAAGGCGGCGACCUGGUCCUUUACUGACGCUGAGGCGCGAAAGCGUGGGGAGCAAACAGGAUUAGAUACCCCUGUAGUCCCUGUCUCUUAUAC
rnacentral:rRNA from 1 species